GACGAACGCUGGCGGCGUGCUUAACACAUGCAAGUCGAACGGAAAGGCCCUGCUUUUGUGGGGUGCUCGAGUGGCGAACGGGUGAGUAACACGUGAGUAACCUGCCCUUGACUUUGGGAUAACUUCAGGAAACUGGGGCUAAUACCGGAUAGGAGCUCCUGCUGCAUGGUGGGGGUUGGAAAGGUUCGGCGGUUGGGGAUGGACUCGCGGCUUAUCAGCUUGUUGGUGGAGUAGUGGCUUACCAAGGCUUUGACGGGUAGCCGGCCUGAGAGGGUGACCGGCCACAAUGGGACUGCGAUACGGCCCAGACUCCUACGGGAGGCAGCAGUGGGGAAUAUUGCACAAUGGGCGGAAGCCUGAUGCAGCAACGCCGCGUGCGGGAUGACGGCCUUCGGGUUGUAAACCGCUUUCGCCUGUGACGAAGCGUGAGUGACGGUAAUGGGUAAAGAAGCACCGGCUAACUACGUG
rnacentral:rRNA from 1 species